GGCUCAGAGCAAUUUAAAUUCUGCUCUGGCGUUCUAUGGGCUGAGAAUAUAGUCCUGAUAUUUGUAAGGAGCCCCUUCCUCCUCCAGCAGGGUUAUUUGCAUGUAUGAUAAGCAGCAGUGUUGGCUUGCCAUCUUCAGGCGACUGUCUUGAAUUGCGCAGCAUCCCGAGCAGCCCUGCACAUCCUGGGCAGCCCAGGACCCGCUGCACCCGUGCCAGGUGCCUGGCCAUGGCUCCUGGCUGCCUCCCAUCUGGGGAUGGGCUGUGUGUGCUGUGUCCCACUGGGUGCCCAGAGGGCUGGCUGCAGCCUGGCACCAUGAGAGCUCGGGCAGUGGGCAGCAUUGCGCUGGGGGAGCUGUGAGUUUUGUACUGUUUCACUCCUAUCUUCACUCAUGCCUCUAAUGCUGAGCUCUGUGGGGCUGGAGGAGGGGAAAGAGGCCAGGCUGCCCCUGGGCUGAGGUUAGUGCUGACAGAGGGGCUCCUGGGUGCUACCAGCAGCUCCACACUAUGGUUUCAACUGUGUAGCAUCAUUUUAGUGAGCAUCUGCUGGCAUGAGGACACAGAUGUGUAGCAGGGUGAGCAGGAGUGCAGAGCAUUGUGCUUAUGGGGAUGAGCUGUGUUUGUGGAUGUCAGUAGAUUGCGUGCUGUGGCUUGUGACAAAGGCUCUGCUCUUACAUACCGGUCUGUUUCCUGGUGCCACAUCACAGAGAUGUCAAUGUGCUGGCUAAUCUUUUGUAGAAAGAGCCAUUUAAGUCUUAUAUUUGCAUACGCUGGAUUUCUCAGCUAUCAAGGUUACUCCAUGCAGUAAUCCAUCCUGCGCUUCUAAUGCGAUCAGUGAGAAAUGAAGCUUCUUCCCAAAGAAAUCACCAGCGGCUGUGCUCUGGCAGUGCCACGGCCUUUCCUGCAGGCAGAAGAGCUGGAUGGCUCAUCCAGUACAGCCACAGGGCUGGGUUCCAGCCCCACAUAGUGAGGGCUCAUGAAUGGGUGUAUAUUCACAUCCCUAACAUGGGUGCUGGCAUGAGAUGUGUAGGCCAGCUGUGCUGGCAGUGGGAUGCAGGGCUGGGGGUACCCAGCUCUUCCCCUGGGGCUGUGUGGGCAGUGGGAGGUGCAGGUGUCAUCCAGCUUCCUGGAAGAGCUCAUCCCAUCAACAGAUCGUCUGGAGAACGUGGCCCUACCUGAUCCUUCAGCUCUGCAAAUAGAGCGGCUGGAUCAGGACUGUGAUGAGAAAUAUCACUAUUCUCAUCCACAGAGGAGUUUUCAGCAUAAAAGCUUUGAUAUGACUCAUAGAGCAUAACAUCUAUUUCUGCACGCAAGGUAAAUAUUUCCCCCUCUGAAUGUCAAAGCAGUGUAGUUUCAUGUGACACCCUCCAUUUGUUUAAGUCUGGGGAUGACAGUAAUGCAUCUGUGUUCCCUAACUCUUACCCCCACUGCCACAAGGCUGGCCUCCCUCCCAGCGCUGACCUUCCACUGUCAGUGACUGCCCCAUGUUUUCCUUUGCAGAGGAAGAAACACAAGGCACCUUGAUGCAGCCCUGCUGGGGAAGGCAGGGAGGAGACGCAUCAUGUUUAACCCUGAUAGAUGAUGAUUUCACGCUGAUCUGCUUGCUAUGGCUGCAGGACCUGUUGCUGUGCCCUACACUGACUGCUGGUGGCCAGAGGUCCCCAGCAAGGAGCCCUGGAGCUUUGCUUUUUUACAGCUUAACAGAGUCCUGUCCACUUUUGCUAUUCUGGAGGGGUGAGGAGGUUUGCUCUCUUAGGGGAGGCAGAACUAAGCACAGCCUAGUGAUGCCCACAGUGUUGCCAGGGCUGCCAGCCAAGUCUCCCACCAUAGCAUGGGCUGAGCUCAUAGUGCUGCAGCCUGGCUUGGCUGUACGUGUCGUCUCUUUUGCUGUCUGCAUCAUUUUCUUUUUUUUUUUUUUUGCUUCCCUUCUUUAAAGGACUCUGCAUCUGAGGCUGCUGCACAGUGAUGGCAGCGUUAUUGUUUGCAGUGAUUUCUAUUUCCAUAGCUCCAGAAGAGACCGGAGCCCUGCUGGGCUGAGUGCUGCACGCACCAUGACAAAGAGACAGUCCCGAUGCCAAACAACUUGCAGUAUUCUCCUUAAUGUAAGGAAUGUGAAAUUAAGAUCGCUAUAGCAACACCCUGCUCACACUGCAUAUAUAGAAACGCCUUGUCAGUCUUUACAUAUAUAUAUAUAUAUAUAUAUAUAUAUAUAUAUAUAUAUAUAUAUAUACAUAUACACACACACAAAUGUAAGACACAUACAAACUCUAAAUAUCCCUGGCAAUUUUCUCCUGCAGUGGAGGUGAUGUCUGGGUUGCAGCCCUCUGCCCUGCUCCCUGUGAGCUGUGCCCUCACAUGGGAUCUGUAUCCAGCCCAGGUGCCAGGCGCUGCCCCUCCAUGCAGCGUGACAUGGGGCAGUGCUGCACACCAGUUUUCUUUUGGCGUGCCAAACCUGUAAGGCUUUACAGACAGAUUUGAAACUCCAAAUUUGCUUCUUCCAGGCAGAGUUUCAGGGGUGUGGAGUGAACCUGAGACAUGUAAGUUCCUCUCUUUUCUCCUCUUCCCCCUUUUUUCCCUUUUCUAAAGAUGUGUUAAAUGAAAUUUCACACCUGUUAUAUGAAGCCUGGCUUGGGCUUCUGUGUGGCUGCAUAAAGCUGGGGCUGGAGUGCCUGUGGCAGAGCAGAGCGACAGGAGGCAGACACUGGCAGCUCGGUCCCUGUAAAGCCACAGGAAUUCAAGUAUGACUUUCAUCUUGCCAUAAAGGUAAGUGCAGCUACUGAUCAAGGUGAGCUUUUCCACCAAAGGAAUCCCAAAGCAGGCAGCUGUCCCACGUGGGAGAUGUGUGGGGUGCCCAGAAGGAGCAGGAGAUGAGUCCCCAACAGAGUUGGGGCUGGGGGCUCCUCUGGAUAAGGACUGGCUGUGGUGGGCAGGAGCACUGCUGGUGGGAUUAAUACUGACCUGCGGAGCCUGUGGAAAUGCUGCUGGGCUCAGCGCAGAGCUGGUGUUGUGUGGGAGGUUUCCUAAUGGAGCUUCCAUGGGGAGGGCACUGGGAGCACAGGGGUCCAGGAGGUUACUGACCAAAACGUGGCCAGUGGAGAAAUGGAAAAGGCGGUCGGCCAUCUCUGUCUGUGCCAGCAGUCCCACAGGGCUCUGAUAACGCACUCUUUUUCUCCUGACCUCUGCAUUUCUAUCAGCUGUUUUAGCAAGUCUGACACCAGGAAUGCAAUCAGGGCUCUGCACUCCUAUUUAUGCUUUCACCCAGCAAUUUGCAGUGGGCUGUCGAGCACUCUGCUCGUAAUUGACAGCAGAAAGCAAUACACUUCAUAAGAGGAAGUGUCUCCGUCAGUGGCUGGAUCCGUGCAGGCUAUUUCCCAUAAUGAGGAUGAAGAAAAGAGGCCUUUGCAAGCAGCUGCAGGUAGCAGAGCCCCUUGCUGUGGGUGCAGUGGUGCCGCUUAGUGUGCAAUUAAGAACCAUGACAGCUUUGUACCAAUGGAAGAGGAGGGAGGAUGUUGACAGGAGUGAUGGUACACCAGGCUGGGUAAGCAAGCACAGGUAGCUGGGCUGGCUCUGCUGUGUGGAGCUGGGGAGGGUGCUGGGGCUGCAAAAGAAAUGCCUGCAGGUGAGGGGUACCCGGGAUUUCCAUGUCCUGUCUCCUUGUGGGCUGGUAACUGUCUCUUUUAUUGGGGCUGAAGCACAACCAGGGUACAAGCUUAAGUCCCUGUUCUGAACACAGCUGGAGGAAAACCAGGUGAGACCUUGGUGUGUCCAACCUCCAGCUCCCUCUGAACAGGACAGGAUACUGGGCUUAGGGCUAGAAGGAAGAACUGGCAGAACCAGGAGGGAGGAGGGGGGCUAAUAGUCAUGGGACAAGCAGGAGCCACCCCGCAGCAUCCCUGUGGGCACCAGUGCUGGCACUGUGCAAGCAGUAGCAUCCCUGCUUUCAAAAGGGACAGCAAUGUGAGCGGUGGAAGGGAGCUGCCAGAAAUCUCAAUGGGAACAAUAUUGAGUGCUCUCUCUAUUAAAUUCUUUAUUUUUAAUAUUUUCCUCUUUUUGCUCUGGAAGUCUCAGUUCCAUGAGCAAGCCCUGUCUGCAGUCAGCCCCAUGCAGCCACUAGACCAGGCACUACAUUUGGGCUCACAUGUGAGGAGGAUGUUAUCUUUGUGUAUUUGACAAAAGUCAAUGGUCUCUUUUACGCUGACAGAAAUCAGUGUAGCAGUCAGCCCAUCCCUGUACAGGGGAAAGAAUCCUUCAUUUAUAAGCGAUUCAUUAAGUAGCAUUAGAGCUGUCUCUGAAGACAAAAUAAUCUUUUUAAAGAGGACUCAAGGUACCGAGGAGGAAGAUUAAUGCCUCAGCUAUCUUUCAAUUAUGCAAGCUUUCAUUUGUUGCCAUACACCUGGUUAACUCUUUCCGAUCUGAACACAGUGGAGAAGGUAGGAGGGGAAGGCAGCGCUCCAGCCCUGUGUGCACCAGGUGUGUUCUGCUCCAUCUUCCUCUGUGUAUGUGUGUGUGUGCCAUGUGUGCUUUGGGAAUCACGGAGCUCUGGUUGCUGACCCUCAUUUGGUCACCUUCUCCUGUGAUCACACUUGCAGUUCUUGCACAAUCAAACGAGCCUAACACUCUGAAUAUUUUUAUUUCAGCAUGAUUUACAUCAGAGGUUCUGACAAAGCAUAAUUAGGAAGGUCUUAUUGAUCCAUCCACCUUCCUUUCUUUCCUUGCCACUGGUUCCUGGCACACCAGCUUUAUCUUAAUUGAAACUGUGAAGAGUCCAUUUAGCAGGAAGGUGGGAGGAAACGGCCCGAGAGCGAUCCAUCUCAAUUGCUCCGCCGAUGAAAACAGUUGCUCACUCCAUCUAUCAUAAUUUCUUCUGAGUGUCAUAGGGAGAUGGGCUGUUCUAACUGUGCAGAUGCGCCCAGCAGAGCUGCUCACCAGGGCUCUGUGCUGGAGAAAUGACUGCUUGGUGAAGCCCUCAGUUUUGCACCGAAGAAAGUUACCAGCCAGAAUUCCUUAGGUUCAGCAGCCAGCAAACCUGAGCCACCUGCAUUUCAGCCAAGGUCCUUGGAAAUCACAGCCCACAUCUGAAAACGUCUUAAAGUGGUGAAAACAGCACAGACCAGACCACUUGGAAGUCAAGAGCUGCUGAAAGGACGUGUGUGUGGGAGCUACGCCGAACUGCAGGUUAAGUCUUUCCGAGCUCACAAAGUCUCAGCACAUCACUGAAGGUUUUAUCCAAACGCCUCCUGCACACUGCCCCGUUCGGGCCAGCAGCCCCCUCCUUUGCAAGCCCGUCCGACGGCGCGGGGCAGCCGCGGCUCACCGCAUCCCCACUAAAACCCGCCUUCUGGCUUUGCUUUCUAAACCGAGCGGAGAAUGGAUGCGGCCGUGGGACGCACACGUUCGCAGAGCGAACCCGACGGCGGAGCCUCGCUCUCCCAUUCACGGCGGGACGGAGCGAAACCGAGUUUCCAACGCAGAGGGUGCGGGGGCCGCCCCGCAGGACACAGACCGCGGCCGGCGGAGCAUCGAGCGGCGGUGCACGGUGCACCCCUCCGCUCCGGACCUCCGGG